rnacentral:rRNA from 1 species
AUGGAAGUUGCAUUAGCUAGCGCUGCCGUAAGUGUUAGCUUAAAAGUGGCCGCAUCUCCAGCCUUGAAGAAGCUGCUUGCUAAUGCUUCAAAGUACCUUGGAGUGGACAUGGUGCGUGAGCUCCAUGAACUGGAGACCACUAUCAUGCCGCAACUCGAGCUGGUGAUUGAAGCAGCGAACAAGGGAAACCACAGGCCCAAGUUGGACAAAUGGCUUCAGGAACUCAAAGAAGGCUUCUACAUGGCUGAAGACUUGCUGGACAAGCAUGAAUACAACCUUCUCAAGCUCGAAGCAAAGGGCAAGGAUUCCUUAUCGGCCAAUGCUUCCUCCAUCAGCAGCACUUUUAUGAAGCCUGUGCGUGCUGCAUCGAGCAGGCUGUCCAAUUUGAGCUCUGAGAACAGAAAGCUAAUUCACCAGCUGAAUGAACUCAAGGCUACCCUGGCGAAAGCCAAGGAAUUUUGUGAGGUGCUCUGCUUGCCAACUGGUUAUAAUGCAGAGAGCCCCGCCAUACCAUCAGCUGAUGUUCCUGAGACCACAUCAAUAUCACCUCUGAAAGUGAUUGGUCGUGACAAGGACCGCGAUCGCAUAAUAGAUAGACUCACCAAGACCACUGCUACUACUGAGUCUAGUACAGCCAUUUACUCGGGUUUGGCCAUUGUUGGAGCUGGAGGCAUGGGAAAGUCCACCUUGGCACAACUUGUUUACAAUGAUACAAGGGUAAAAGAUUAUUUUGAUGUCAGAAUGUGGGUAUGUAUCUCACGCAAACUUGAUGUCCGUCGUCACACACGCGAGAUCAUCGAGUCUGCCUCUCAGCGGGAAUGCCCACGCAUUGAUAACCUUGAUACUCUACAACGUAUCUUGUCAGACAUACUGCAAGAAUCAGGGAAAUUCCUGCUUGUGUUGGAUGAUGUAUGGUUUGAACCUGGCAGCGAGAGGGAAUGGGACCAGCUGCUAGCUCCUCUAGUCUCCCAACAUAUAGGAAGCAAAGUUUUAGUAACUUCUCGACGGAAUACAUUUCCAACUGCUCUUUACUGUGCCGAAGUGUGUCCCUUGAAAAACAUGAAAGAUUCUCACUUCUUGGCACUCUUCAAACACCAUGCUUUCUCUGGACCAGAAAUCAGAAAUCAUGCAAAACACGGAAGAUUGCGUGAAAAGCUGGAAAACUUUGCAGAGAAGAUUGCUAAAAGGCUUGGACAAUCUCCUUUGGCGGCCAAAGUUGUGGGUUCCCAGUUGAAAGGGAAAACCGAUAUAUCUACAUGGAAGGAUGCUCUAACUUUAAUGAUUGACAAAUUAAGUGAACCUAUGACAGCACUGUUGUGGAGUUAUGAGAAGUUAGAUCCAUGUCUACAGAGGUGCUUCCUAUAUUGCAGCUUGUUUCCAAAAGGCCACAAGUAUGUCAUUGAUGAGUUGGUUCAUCUUUGGAUGGCAGAGGGCCUUCUUGAUUCGUGCGAUCGAAACAAGAGAGUUGAAGAUGUUGGGAGGGAUUGCUUCAAGGAGAUGAUCUCUGUUUCAUUUUUUCAACCUGGCAAAGAUCGCAAAUACUAUGUUAUGCAUGAUUUCCUUCAUGAUCUGGCAGAAUCACUCUCCAAAGAAGACUACUUCAGGUUGGACGAUGAUAAGAUACUACAGAAUUUGAAGAAGUUGCGCGUAUUAUUUUUGUCAUCUUACAGUAGUAGCAAGUUGCCAGAAUCUGUUGGUGAGUUGAAGCACCUUCGGUAUUUAAACAUCAUCAGAACACUGAUUUCAGAAUUGCCAAGAUCAUUGUGUACUCUUUACCACUUGCAGUUACUCCUGAUAAAUGAUAAAGUUGUGAGUUUGCCUGAGAAACUCUGUAAUUUAAGGAAGUUACGGCAUCUUGACUGGCAUGAUUAUAGAAUGUGCGAUCCAGGGAGAAAAGCACUGCCUCAAAUUCCUAACAUUGGCAAGCUAACUUCACUUCAACAGUUUCAGAAACUUUCUGUGCAAAAGAAAAUGGGAUAUGAAUUGCAACAGCUGAGGGAUAUGAACGAGAUUCGUGGCAGUUUAAGUGUAACAAAUCUUGAGAAUGUCACUGGGAAGGAUCAAGCCUUAGAAUCGAAGCUGAAUCAGAAAAUUCAUCUUGGCAGCUUGCGACUUGGAUGGUGUUGCAAGAAUAACACCAAUGGAGAGGAUAGUUCACAUUUGGAGAUUAUAGAAGGCCUGAUGCCGCCACCUCAACUUAAGAAUCUUACAAUUGACGGUUACAAUUCUUCAAAAUAUCCAGGUUGGUUACUUGAUGGUUCGUAUUUUGAGAAUUUAGAAUCUUUGAGGUUCGAAAAUUGCAGCGCGUUACAAGGCCUACCAUCCAACACUGAGCUAUUUGGGAAUUGCUCUUCACUUGCCCUCUUCAAUGUGCCAAACCUGAAGACAUUACCUUGUCUUCCACUGGGCCUUACAUGGUUAGGAAUAUCCAAUUGCCCACUGCUUAUAUUUGUUUCCAAUGAUGAGCGAGAAUAUCAAGAACAUCAAGAACAGAGCGAGAAUAUCAUGAGUAUAGACCACUUGGCGUCACAACUUGGUUUACUCUGGGAGGUGGAUUCAGGAUCAGAUAUUAGGAGAAUACUCUCAUCGGAACAUUCAUUUCUGAAGCAGCUGAUGAUAUUGAUGCAUGCUGAUGUCUCACGUGUUCAUAACCUUGGAAGUGUCCUUGGAAGAAAGAAAAAGAAAGUGGUUAAAGAGGAUAUCAUCAACGCAUGGAUACACUGUCACGAGCAGAUGAUGAGUCUCGUGCAUGGAAGGAGCAUUAGGCUGCCACUGGUUCCACCAUCGGGACUUCGUGGGCUUUCUCUUUCUUCAUGCAGUAUUACAAAUGAAGCUCUAGCUGUUUGCCUUGAUGGCCUGACUUCACUGAAAAGUUUAUCCUUACACAAAAUUAUGACUUUAACCACACUUCCUUCAGAAGAGGUCCUCCAACAUUUGACAAAACUUCACCGCUUGGGCAUUGUAAGUUGCUGGUGUCUCAGGUCAUUAGGAGGUUUACGAGCUGCUACCUCUCUUUCAGAUGUUCACUUGAGUUCUUGCCCUUCUUUGGAGUUGUCACAUGGAGCAAAAUGUUUACCAUUGUCCCUUGAGAGCCUCACUAUACAUUAUUGCGUGCUUCAAGCUAACUUCUUCUGUACUGACUGGCCACACGUGAAUCGUAUUUCCAUAUACAACUGCAGAAGCAGCGCAUGCUUAUCUGUUGGUAGUCUCAUAUCUGUUAAAUCACUCUCACUGAAUGGCUUGCCAGAUUUAUGUAUGCUCGAAGGAUUAUCUUCCCUGCAACUUCACCACGUACAUUUCACUAGUCUCCCAAAACUCUAUCCCAACUGUAUCUCACAGUUUCGAGUCCAGAAGUCACUGUAUGUUGACAGUCUUGUAUUACUCAAGAACAUGCUCUCAGAUGAAGGUUUCACAGUUCCAGCAUUUCUCUGUCUUGAAGGAUGCAAUGAACCAUUCGUUUUCGAAGAAUCCGCAAAUUUCACAUCAGUCAAGACCCUGAGAUUCUAUGAUUGUCAAAUGACUUCCCUGCCAACAAAUCUGAUGUGCUUCUCCAAUCUGAAGAAGCUCGACCUCUAUAGCUGCUUCAAGAUAUCAUCUUUACCAGAUCUGCCAUCCUCCGUCGAGCACAUAUGUGUAUGGGGUUGUAAGCUAUUGAAGGAGAGCUGCCGAGCACCUGAUGGAGAAAGUUGGCCAAAGAUCGCGCAUAUCCGCUGGAAGGAAUUUAGAGUGUGA